rnacentral:rRNA from 1 species
GACGAACGCUGGCGGCGUGCUUAACACAUGCAAGUCGAACGGAAAGGCCCUGCGUUUGUGGGGUGCUCGAGUGGCGAACGGGUGAGUAACACGUGAGUAAACUGCCCUUGAAUUUGGGAUAACUUCAGGAAAAUGGGGCUAAUACCGGAGAGGAGCUCCUGCUGCAUGGGGGGGGUUGGAAAGAUUCGGCGGUGGGGGAUGGAAUCGAGGCUUAUCAGCUUGUUGGGGGGGUAGUGGCUUAACAAGGCUUUGACGGGUAGCCGGCCUGGGAGGGUGACCGGCCACAUUGGGCCUGAGGUACGGCCCAGACUCCUACGGGCGGCAGCAGUGGGGAAUAUUGCACAAUGGGCGGACGCCUGAUGCAGCAACGCCGCGUGCGGGAUGACGGCCUUCGGGUUGUAAACCGCUUUCGCCUGUGACGAAGCGUGAGUGACGGUAAUGGGUAAGGAAGCACCGGCUAACUACGUG